GCCGCUUUAGCUCAGUCGGUAGAGCAUCUCACUCGUAAUGAGAAGGUCGCGAGUUCGAUUCUCGCAAGCGGCUCCA
rnacentral:tRNA from 1 species